rnacentral:rRNA from 1 species
UACGUAGGGUGCAAGCGUUAAUCGGAAUUACUGGGCGUAAAGCGUGCGCAGGCGGUUGUGCAAGACAGAUGUGAAAUCCCCGGGCUUAACCUGGGAAUUGCAUUUGUGACUGCACGGCUAGAGUGUGUCAGAGGGGGGUAGAAUUCCACGUGUAGCAGUGAAAUGCGUAGAUAUGUGGAGGAAUACCGAUGGCGAAGGCAGCCCCCUGGGAUAACACUGACGCUCAUGCACGAAAGCGUGGGAGCAAACAGG